rnacentral:tRNA from 1 species
GAUAAGAUGGCCGAGUAGCGUUAGACUGUAAAUCUAAGUACAGAGGUUGAAGGCCUCUUCUUAUCA